rnacentral:lncRNA from 1 species
AUGAGAUCAUCACAGGGCUGGUGUCUAGUACCGAGGACUUCAUCUAAAAGGAGUCAAUUUACUUCUGAAUGUGGCGGUAAUGGACACAGGAGCAAAGCGGUGGGCGUGGCACGAGCUCCAGCUGAUCCUGAUUCCGCUAAUCAGAGGGCCAGGGGAUUUAAGGAGCGGUGUGACACAACUCCAGCACCGUAUUGCGCCUCGCAUCCUCUAACCACGCCUGGAGUUGUUAUCCUCAUCCCGUCACUCGGGAUCCUCUGGCCUCCACUCUCCAUUGCUCUGCCUGCCUGCCAACCUACACCCUGGACUUACACAACCUUCUCCUGUCCACCUCCUCUACAACCACCGGACCUGCCGCCUCUCCUCCACUGAACUUCAACCCAGUCCACCACCGCUAAGAACUGGUUUAAGACCAUUUCCGGUCUGUUCCUGUUCCUGCUUUUCUGUAGCAGUGCCCUUGGUUUUUCCUUAGCUUCAUUUAAUAAAAUAUUUUACUCCUUUUACUUACUUGGUUUUCAUGUGUGGUUCUUCAUGUCCUGGUUAAGCACCUUGCCUACAACAUGACAGAGGUGGUAAGCGUUGCACAGGUCCAGCUUGGUAAAAAUAGAGGCAUCACAGGGUCAAAAGUUGAUGAAAGCAGCGGUAAAGGGUUUUUGGUUGUGAUCUGGUUCAGUCCUCAGUAGUCAAUGCAGGGAUGCAGGGAUCCAUCCUCAGUAGCGGUUUUAGGCACGGGCAGACAGGGCAGUUGCCCGGGGCGGCAUUUUUUCAUGACACAAAAGGGGCGCACAAGCGCUGAGUAAAAAAAAAAAAAAAAAAAAGGAAAUCUGCGC